AGUACAGUGAGUAUGUCUAGUGACGACUAUUAUUCCGAUGAUUCCUCGGGAUUUUCACGUGGUGAACAUAUUCAACGCCGGGCGAAUAGGGAAGGUACAUGUAUCAUGGAUCCGCUGGACCAGGAUCACGUGACGUCGGAACUCAGAUGAAGACCCACUAUAUUCUCGACCCUCAACGAUAUUUUGCGAGAGUUCGGGAUGUUGGGACACAGACGAGAGAAAAUGCCAACCACGUGAUCUAUAACCCAAGGAUUUUGUCAAAUUCAUAUUCCGAGGCCAAACAGCUGAAGAAACAGGAUAAAGAAUACUCGUUCGUAUACGAUCGUGAUAAGGAGGAGUUAUAUAGAGUAAGGAUCAGGUUAAGACCUCGUGAUGGCGGUAGAGAAUAUGACUCUUGUUCUAUAAGAUCGUCUAAUUCUGCAGAAGAUUCAAAGUUUUCCCAUAGUAUCGACGAGUUAUUCGAUGAUUCAGGAUACACGCGUACCGUUGGGACGCAGAUGAGAACAAAGUACAUAGUUCAGGAAUCUAGACCAAAAGCUAUAGUAAGGGAUGUAGGAAUACAAACCAAACUGGCGAAUAAAUACGCGCCAAGCCAAAAUGAGAUGGACCAGAUGAGGCGUAGUCAACUGCCAUUGUCUAAAAAUGUUGUAUGCUCACUUCCGAAAACAUGGCGGAACGGUUCGGAAAUGUCUGCCUCUGAUACGGGUUACAUGUCUGAUUUCAAUCGCGCGUGCAACGUCUCGUCUGCUCCCGCUCGUUCAGAGAGACUUUAUGAGACACUCAAACAAAGUAGGUCUGAACAUUAUGAUAGAAGUAAUACCUAUAGGGGCUUUAACAGAAAGAAUAAAGGGUCGUUUAGAGGUAGUAACAAACGUGAUGCUUAUUUAGUUAACAGCAAAGGGUCAAAAUUAUUUAGAAAUGUUACUAUGGAGAAAGAAAAACUUGAAGAGCAAGCUUUGAUUCCACACAGUGAUUCCAACAGAAGACGUAGGGGUUCUGUGUCAGAACGCAGUGUUUCCACUCAGUACUCGGCAUCGAAUGGAAGAAGCCGAUCAAAAAGACAGUCGAAGAAUCGAGAGGAAAGUUUCGAACUUUCGAAUUUCGAAUACUUGGGAGAGCACUCAUCGGUUCGCUUAAAGAGCGAAAUUUCGUCCACGGGCACACAGACAGGUAACGGAGCUCAGAGGUCCAAAGGUGUUCCGAAAUCCAGUCAGGGGUAUUGACAGUGAACAGCAGCCAACUGACUGUCAGCCGCUGACAGUGGGAACUAGCGUGAUGCAUCAUGUCAGUGACAGUGAAUCGGGUAUUGAGAUUCUGUGUACACCGCCCAUGCUUGCUCAAGAGAAAGGUAAUAUGUAUACUAGAGACUUUACACCUACCCCUGUAGAAAUGGUUCAAAGCAGUCAUCAUCCGUACCAACCGAAAGAAAGUCCCAGACGUGAAGUUUCGACAACAGCAACAACAGUCAGCAUCGAUGAACGGUCCCCGAGUAGACCGGAUGCUGAUAUAAAGGAUGAUCGGUCUCAUUCUGUGGAGAUAAGUUCAGAGCCUGAUGUGAUGCUGGCAGAGUUCGUAGAAAAGCCCGUCAAAAAGCCACGUGUUCGGAAAGUGAAGCCCCCGCCUCCUCCAGACGUUGCCAUUCGCGUGGGCGGAGGGUGGAUGAAGGAAGAGCAUCACAGAAUACAGCACCGUCCCUUACACCGGAAAGUUGCAGCCGACGUCCGAUCGGAUUCCAUUUAUCCGUUCUCAGUUCCGAUAUGCUCGUUCCAAAACCCCUGUGGUUAGCAGAGAGCGCAAACACACGGAUAAAAUCCGAUAUGCAUCUUUUAUACCAUAAUUGAACAAGCUUAAUGUGAUGCUAUUCCUGUGGAAAAUCUGUGAUAUGUUACAAUUGUCGUUAUUCAGUUCAGUUGCUUUUCAUUUAUAUUUUGUGAUAACUGUAUAUUUAUAAUUUAAAGCUUUUGGUUUAGUGUAAUGCGUGCAUACAGUGUAUGGGAUAGUUAUUCAAGAUUUAAAAAAAAAUAUCCAAGACGUAUUUAAUUGAAUAUUGACUUGAUUUCGAGGGUAAAAAAAUCAAAAUUAUAUACAUUAAAUAUUAUCAUAAGAUAAUCAUAUUGCUUAUUUAUUAUUUUCUGGGGUGCAUGUACGCCCUUAUGCAUGAAGGUACUUUGUUAAUAUUUACAUAGAGAUAUAUUAUUAGUAAUAAAAAAAAAAUUAAAGCAAAUUGU
rnacentral:misc_RNA from 1 species